rnacentral:rRNA from 1 species
CAGCAGCCACGGUAAAACGGAGGGUGCAAGCGUUAAUCGGAAUUACUGGGCGUAAAGCGUGCGUAGGCGGUUCGUUAAGUCUGUUGCGAAAGCCCCGGGCUCAACCUGGGAAUGGCAAUGGAUACUGGCGAGCUAGAGUGUGUCAGAGGAUGGUGGAAUUCCCGGUGUAGCGGUGAAAUGCGUAGAGAUCGGGAGGAACAUCAGUGGCGAAGGCGGCCAUCUGGGACAACACUGACGCUGAGGCACGAAAGCGUGGGGAGCAAACAGGAUUAGAGACCCGCGUAGUCCCUGUCUCUUAUAA